UUAAUAAAGUCAAUUGGGUACUAGUUAUAACUAAUGAAAAAUAGGACUUGUUAAAACGUCAAAAUUCUUCCCCUAGGUUUGCUCUGUUCCGAAAACAAGGCAUCAGCUCACUACUACAAUGGCUACUUCAGCUUCUGUAAAGCAGAUUUUGGGCGAUCUAAACAAGGAUUCAUUCGUAACCCUUUUGGGGAAACUGAUCGGCGAGUCUAAAUAUGUACAGAACAAUCCGCCGGAGCUUAUCCCGGAGGAAGACAGGAUUGUGAAUCACGUUCUUGAUACGCUUCUUCCUUAUAGCACCACCACCGGCGGCGGACCACUGAUCAUCAAUCAUGUUACUUAUAAGCCUAAUAGGGGUAAUCUUAUUGUGGAGUACCCGGGUACUCAGCCCGGAAAAAUCUUGUCUUUUGUUGGAAUGCAUAUGGAUGUUGUCACUGCCAACCCUGAUGAUUGGGAAUUUGAUCCCUUUUCAUUGAGCAUCGAUGGUGAUAAACUUCGAGGACGUGGAACUACUGAUUGUUUAGGUCACGUGGCUCUUGUAUCCGAGCUUAUGAGGCGUCUUGGAGAGACAAAGCCACAGUUGAAAUCCACGGUGGUUGCUGUUUUCAUAGCCAGUGAAGAGAACUCAUCUAUCCCUGGGGUUGGUGUCGAUGCAUUAGUGAAGGAUGGAUUGCUUGAUAAGUUAAAGCAAGGCCCUCUAUUCUGGAUUGACACAGCAGAUAAACAACCAUGCAUUGGUACUGGUGGCAGUAUACCGUGGAAACUUCAUGUAACCGGAAAGCUUUUCCACAGUGGUCUUCCCCACAAGGCUAUCAAUCCUCUGGAGCUUGCUAUGGAAGCACUCAAAGAAAUUCAGUCCCGCUUCUAUAUAGAUUUCCCUGCGCAUCCUAAAGAACAAGUCUAUGAAUUUGCUACACCAUCAACCAUGAAACCAACUCAGUGGUUUUAUCCUGGGGGUGGAAUCAACCAAAUUCCUGGUGAGUGCACUGUUUCUGGAGAUGUUAGGUUGACUCCAUUUUACAAUGUAUCAGAUGCUAUGAAGAAAUUACAAGAAUAUGUUGAUGACUUGAAUGCCAACAUUGAAAAACUUGAUGGUCGAGGCCCUGUUUCAAAAUAUGUUCUGCCAGAUGAGAACUUAAGGGGAAGAAUCACUAUAAGUUUCGACGAAGCUUCGUCUGGAGUUGCUUGUGAUCUCAAUUCUCGGGGAUUUCAUGUACUAUGCAAAGCUACCAAAGAGGAAGUUGGGCAUGUAAAACCAUAUUCUAUAACCGGUACUUUGCCAUUGAUAAGAGAUCUACAGGAUGAGGGUUUUGAUGUUCAAACUUCUGGCUACGGCUUAAUGGCUACAUACCAUGCAAAGAAUGAAUACUGUCUACUGUCUGACAUGUGCCAAGGUUACCGGGUCUUUGCAAGCAUCAUCGCACAGUUGGAAGAUUGAUAUAUAUGAGGUCCGAACGUCCAGCAUCCAUCUCGAUGUUAGUACGAUCCCUGGCCAGCUUAGUUGCAUUUUCGUGAGUCUUCAUCUUUCGAGGACAACCUCUAUGUUUUGAUUUCAGUUGUUUAUGUCUUUAGUUUUCAGACAUCUAGAGUUAGCUGAGGGCUUGUCCCAGCAACUCAUCUUAAUAAAGGUUUUCAUACAUCUAGAGUUAGCUGAGGGCUUGUUCCAGCAACUCAUCUUAAUAAAGGUUUUCGACAUCUAGAGUUAGCUGAGGGCUUGUCCCAGCAACUCAUCUUAAUAAAGGUUAGCUGAGGGCUUGUCGCAGCAACUCAUCUUAAUAAAGGUUUUCAUACAUCUAGAGUUAGCUGAGGGCUUGUCCCAGCAACUCAUCUUAAUAAAGGUUUUCAUACAUCUAGAGUUAGCUGAGGGCUUGUCCCAGCAACUCAUCUUAAUAAAGGUUAGCUGAGGGCUUGUCGCAGCAACUCAUCUUGAAUAAAGGCUUUUAGACAGCCAGUCACACAUUAUUAUCAGCUU